ensembl:lncRNA
ACUUGUAGCAGCUAUCCAAAGAUGAGCUAGUUUGCUUUUUACAACACAGCGACUGGAGUCGAAAGACACGACGUGAUUAUUUGUAACUGUCUAACAGCUACAACAUUGCCGAACUAGUUAAUUGUGUGUGGCUGGUGUUGUCGCGGAAUAUAAAGACAAGACUCAUUUGCUGUGUCGUUUUUUUCAUACGGGUCUGUAACAUGGAUAUAUGGCCUUGUGGGAACUCUAACCCUAUCAAGGUGUGUAUCGAUUAAACUUUUUUUUUCAUGAUUUCUCGCUGAUAUUGAAGAUAAGGUUCUUUAAAUGCUUCCAAUACCGUAGCGCAAGCGACGUGCGUUAAUGUUCAGAUUGAGCGUCGGGACUCUUUAAACUCCCCCAUACAGAUACCGUCUUUUCCCAGUAAAAUACUACUUGAGUUAAAAGUAUUUGGUUUUAAAUAUACUUAAGUAUGAAUAGUAAACAUACUUAAACAUUCCUUGUAUUAAGUAAACCAGACAGCACCAUUAUUUUUAAAAUAUAAGGAUAGCCAGUGGCACAUUCCAAAACUCGGACAUAAUUUACAAACGAAGAAGCAUGUGUUUAGUGAGUCUGCCAGAUCAGAGGCAGUAGGGAUGACCAGGGAUGUUCUCUUGAUAAGUGUGUCAAUUAGACCUGCUAAGCAUUCAAAAUGUGACUAGUACUUUUGGUUGUCAGGGAAAAUGUAUGUUAUUUUCUUUAGGAAUGUAGUGAAGUAAAAUAUAAAUAGUACAGUACCCCCAAAAAACUACUUAAAACUUCUCUAGGGUAUGAUGCAAUAGUCCAGACGGGAGAGGACAAGUGCCUGGAUUAAGACCUGCGCCACUUCUUGUGUGAGGUAGGGUCGUACUCUACAGAUGUUGUAGAGCAUGAACCUGCAGGAGGGAGUCACUGCUUUGAUGCUGGCAGAGAACGACAGGGUGUUGUCCAAGGUCACACCAAGGUUCUUUGUACUCUGGGAGGGCAACACUGUGGAGUUGUCAACUGUGAUGGAUAGGUCUUUGAGCGGGCAGGCCUUCCUCUGGAGGAAGAGCAGCUCUGUCUUGUUGAGCUUGAGGUGGUGGGCCGACAUCCAGGUUGAGAUAUAUACCAGGCAUGCAGAAGAUGUGUGUUGCACCUGGGUGUCAGAAAGGGGGGGAAGGAGAAAAGUAGUCAACCCUAUUGAACAUUUAUGGGAGAUUCUGAAGCAGUGUCUCAUCCCUCAAACAAAGUUCUGGACACUUGUAGAAUCAAUUCCAAGGUGCAUUGAAGCUGUUCUGCGGGCAACACCCUAUGAAGACACUAUGCUGGUGUUUCUUUUAUUUUGGCAGUUACCUG